ensembl:lncRNA novel transcript
GAGAAUACGUGAGACUGUCAUAAACCCUGGGUAUUUUGAAUCAAACCAUGGGUCUUUUACUGUUAUGUGACCUUUGGCAAUUCUGGGCUUGAACUUUCCUACUGCGUCUCUUUGAACUUUAAAUAGAGAGAAAUCUGAAGAUUGCGGCAGCUGCCCGUCUCCUGGCUGCCAAUUGUCUGCAGAGUGAUGUAACAUGAAGAAAAUGUUCUAUAAAGAAGGUGUACAGAGGAAAAACAACAUUCCACCUAUACAAGUGCUAUCAAGGAGAAGGGUGAUAUAUUAGAAAGAAAGGAUUUUGAUGUUGGAGAGACUUGGGUUCAAAUUCCAGCUCUUUCUGUAAUGAAAGCCAAGUUGCUUAACCUGGGAAUCAGCUUCUUUAGUUUUAAAAUGAGGAUAAUAAUACCUACUCAUGGGAGUCGCAUAAAGAUGAAAUGAAAGUCUGUA